CCCGCGAGGUGUAUCACUUCAUCUGCUGGAGUCAUGUUCUUUUUUCGUUUUGGCCGUGAUAACAUUGGUGAAGCUGCCACACUUGUUGAUGCACUUGAUCCAUCAUCCCCCGAUGUCGGAGGAGCCGGUGUGUUUAUCUCUCGUCGUUGAAAGUGGUCUUGUUUCCUAAAACAGCAAGUGAGUGGUUAAAAAUCGCUUCAGAUUUUGAUGAGAAGUGGCAAUUUCCUCACUGUUUGGGGGCGAUCGAUGGAAAGCAUGUCCGGAUUGUGCAACCCAAGGAUAGCGGUUCCUACUACUUCAAUUACAAAAAGACACACAGUAUAGUCUUGAUGGCUAUAGCAAACGCUCACUGUGAAUUUAUAUAUUGUGAUGUAGGAACGAACGGUAGAAUAUCUGAUGGAGGCGUCAUAAACAACACUCUUUUCUAUGAAAAACUUGUAAAUAAGCAACUGAACAUUCCUGAACCUGAACCAGUUACCUUCGAUCUUGAUCUGGAAUAUGUAUUUGUGGGGGACGACGCCUUUGCAUAGCGCCCUGAUCUUAUUAAGCCAUACAGCCGGGAUUCCCUUAACAACGAGAGAAAAAUUUGCAACUAUCGCAUAUCGAGGGCACGGCGAGUGGUUGAGAACAGUUUUGGAAUUUUAGCUUCACGAUUCCGCAUUUUUCACACCGCAAUAAACUUAGAUGUGGAAACCAUUGAAUCAGUAGUUCUUGCGUGCUGUGCUUUGCACAACUUAUUGCGAAAAAAAUCAGCCACCUACACCCCUCCUGAUAGUUUUGAUCAUGAAAAUAUUAUCGAUGGUACUAUUCAACUAGGUGCAAGGGCUCAUCCCGAUUUGCUACACAACCUGCAACGUCGUUCAGGAGGUCAAGUUUUACAACACGCGAAAACUGUUCGAGAAAAGUUCUGUAUGUAUUUUAACGGUGAGGGGUCAGUUCCUUGGCAAGAAAAAUUUGCACUUAACGCUUGAAAUUAACAGUUCUAAAGUUAAAGCAUACUAUACAAACACUAGAUUGAAUAAUUUGUUUUAUUAUUGUAACAAUUCAACCAAAUCAUUACACUAUUUAUGCUAUUAAUAAAUUGCAUUUUUACUUA